rnacentral:rRNA from 1 species
UACGGGGGGGGCAAGCGUUGUUCGGAAUUACUGGGCGUAAAGGGUUUGUAGGUGGCCGACUAAGUCAGACGUGAAAUCCCUCAGCUUAACUGGGGAACUGCGUCUGAGACUGAUCGGCUAGAGGACAGGAGAGGAACGCGGAAUUCCAGGUGUAGCGGUGAAAUGCGUAGAUAUCUGGAGGAACACCGGUGGCGAAGGCGGCAUCCUGGACCAUUACUGACGCUGAUGAGCGAAAGCCAGGGGAGCAAACGGG